rnacentral:rRNA from 1 species
GAUGAACGCUGGCGGCGUGCCUAAUACAUGCAAGUCGAGCGAACAGACGAGGAGCUUGCUCCUCUGACGUUAGCGGCGGACGGGUGAGUAACACGUGGAUAACCUACCUAUAAGACUGGGAUAACUUCGGGAAACCGGAGCUAAUACCGGAUAAUAUAUUGAACCGCAUGGUUCAAUAGUGAAAGACGGUUUUGCUGUCACUUAUCGAUGGAUCCGCGCCGCAUUAGCUAGUUGGUAAGGUAACGGCUUACCAGGGCGACGAUGCGUAGCCGACCUGAGAGGGUGAUCGGCCACACUGGAACUGAGACACGGUCCAGACUCCUACGGGAGGCAGCAGUAGGGAAUCUUCCGCAAUGGGCGAAAGCCUGACGGAGCAACGCCGCGUGAGUGAUGAAGGUCUUCGGAUCGUAAAACUCUGUUAUUAGGGAAGAACAAAUGUGUAAGUAACUAUGCACGUCUUGACGGUACCUAAUCAGAAAGCCACGGCUAACUACGUG